rnacentral:rRNA from 1 species
AACGAACGCUGGCGGCAUGCCUAACACAUGCAAGUCGAACGAGACCUUCGGGUCUAGUGGCGCACGGGUGCGUAACGCGGGGGAACCUGCCCUUAGGUUCGGAAUAACUCCCCGAAAGGGGUGCUAAUACCGGAUAAUGUCUUCGGACCAAAGAUUCAUCGCCUUUGGAUGGGCCCGCGUUGGAUUAGCUAGUUGGUAGGGUAAAAGCCUACCAAGGCGACGAUCCAUAGCUGGUCUGAGAGGAUGAUCAGCCACACUGGGAGUGAGACACGGCCCAGACUCCUACGGGAGGCAGCAGUGGGGAAUAUUGGACAAUGGGCGGAAGCCUGAUCCAGCUAUGCCGCGUGAGUGAUGAAGGCCUUAGGGUUGUAAAGCUCUUUUACCCGGGAUGAUAAUGACGGUACCGGGAGAAUAAGCACCGGCUAACUCCGUG